rnacentral:rRNA from 1 species
AUUGUGCUUGCACAGAUGACGACCGGCGCACGGGUGCGUAACGCGUAUAGAACCUACCUUUUACAGAGGAAUAGCCUUUAGAAAUGAAGAUUAAUGCCUCAUAGUAUUGUAGACUGGCAUCAGUUUAUAAUUAAAGAUUUAUCGGUAAAAGAUGGCUAUGCGUCCUAUUAGUUAGUUGGUAAGGUAACGGCUUACCAAGACAGCGAUAGGUAGGGGUCCUGAGAGGGAGAUCCCCCACACUGGUACUGAGACACGGACCAGACUCCUACGGGAGGCAGCAGUGAGGAAUAUUGGACAAUGGAGGAGACUCUGAUCCAGCCAUGCCGCGUGUAGGAAGAAUGCCCUAUGGGUUGUAAACUACUUUUAUACAGGAAGAAACACUGGUAUGUAUACCAGCUUGACGGUACUGUAAGAAUAAGGACCGGCUAACUCCGUGCCAGCAGCCGCGGUAAUACGGAGGGUCCGAGCGUUAUCCGGAAUCAUUGGGUUUAAAGGGUCCGCA